rnacentral:rRNA from 1 species
AGCGGCAGACGGGUGAGUAACACGUGGGAACGUACCCUUUGGUUCGGAAUAACGCUGGGAAACUAGCGCUAAUACCGGAUACGCCCUUUUGGGGAAAGGCUUGCUGCCGAAGGAUCGGCCCGCGUCUGAUUAGCUAGUUGGUGGGGUAAUGGCCUACCAAGGCGACGAUCAGUAGCUGGUCUGAGAGGAUGAUCAGCCACACUGGGACUGAGACACGGCCCAGACUCCUACGGGAGGCAGCAGUGGGGAAUAUUGGACAAUGGGCGCAAGCCUGAUCCAGCCAUGCCGCGUGAGUGAUGAAGGCCUUAGGGUUGUAAAGCUCUUUUGUCCGGGACGAUAAUGACGGUACCGGAAGAAUAAGCCCCGGCUAACUUCGUGCCAGCAGCCGCGGUAAUAC